ACAGAGAGAAGCGAUACCGCGAGGAGGAGCAAAUCUGAAAAAAGCGUCCCUAGUUCGGAUUGUAGGCUGAAACUCGCCUACAUGAAGCUGGAAUUGCUAGUAAUCGCGCAUCAGCCACGGCGCGGUGAAUACGUUCCCGGGCCUUGUACACACCGCCCGUCAAGCCAUGGGAGCCGGGGGUACCUGAAGUGCGUAACCGCGAGGAUCGCCCUAGGGUAAAACUGGUGACUGGGGCUAAGUCGUAACAAGGUACC
rnacentral:rRNA from 1 species